GACGAACGCUGGCGGCGUGCUUAACACAUGCAAGUCGAACGGAAAGGCCCUGCUUUUGUGGGGUGCUCGUGGCGAACGGGUGAGUAACACGUGAGUAACCUGCCCUUGACUUUGGGAUAACUUCAGGAAACUGGGGCUAAUACCGGAUAGGAGCUCCUGCUGCAUGGUGGGGGUUGGAAAGUUUCGGCGGUUGGGGAUGGACUCGCGGCUUAUCAGCUUGUUGGUGGGGUAGUGGCUUACCAAGGCUUUGACGGGUAGCCGGCCUGAGAGGGUGACCGGCCACAUUGGGACUGAGAUACGGCCCAGACUCCUACGGGAGGCAGCAGUGGGGAAUAUUGCACAAUGGGCGGAAGCCUGAUGCAGCAACGCCGCGUGCGGGAUGACGGCCUUCGGGUUGUAAACCGCUUUCGCCUGUGACGAAGCGUGAGUGACGGUAAUGGGUAAAGAAGCACCGGCUAACUACGUG
rnacentral:rRNA from 1 species